AUCAAGGUGACGAGUCCCAAAUAGAACGAAAUACGCAUCCUGAU
rnacentral:hammerhead_ribozyme from 1 species